rnacentral:lncRNA from 1 species
GUGAGGUACAUUUAGGGAGUCAUACAAUACUUCCUAUACUAGAGCUAAACUGACCCUAAUCACUGGAUUCUUGAAGUCACAUGCUCUGCAUUUCUCGUGCAUAUAGGUGGUCAAUUUUUAGGAAAUGGUUGUUCAGGAUGUUUAUAGGUUGAGAAUAAUUUGAGUUCCAUAAAAUUUUGACAGAUGUCCUUUUACUGGAAGAUGAAAAUAGAUUGGAGCAAGAUUAGAGCAAGUCUGUCUGUAUUUGUGAUCAUGUAUUUUUCCAAAAUCUAAAACAGCAGUAAAAAUUAGAGAUUACCUUGAUUUAGACCACUUAAAAAUCUUAAAACUGUAACAGUAACUUAACAUUUUCUACUCCUAACUGUCAUGCAUACAGUGUGACUUGGAAGGACAGAUGGAAAGUCUUUUAGAUAACUGAGAAUUUCUGUUUUUUAAGUGCCCGCUCUCAAAUUAGCAUGAUACCACUUCAAGUAAACUGUUGUUGCCAGGGUCUUUUUCCUGCUUUCUGCUGCUCCUGUACCUGCUGAAGGGUGCAGGGUUGGUUUAACUUAGGUGUCUAUAGUAAGCUAAAAACUCUAGCUUGUCUUUUUGGAGCACAAGACUGAUUUAUAUAUUCAAUACUAUCUCCUUGAUGACAUCAACACCUGGAAUCUUUAUGUUCACUAUUUUUGGUAGAAACUCCAUGUUUAGUUUGGUAGUCUCCAGACGAGUGUAUUUCAAAAAAUUUUUAACUGUGACUCACAAUAAAAAUAACUUAACAUUUGAUUCAUAAUGUGUGUGUGUCUGUGUGUGUGAGUGUUGGUGUAUGUAUGUGUGAAUGUAAAACCUUUAACUGAAAUGUUUCAUGAAGAAAUGCUUAGUUGCUAAGUUUGAUAGACUUUCAUCUCUGUGUCUCACUGUUGUAAAUGUUCUUCAGACUCACUAAAUCAUUUCCUGAUUCACAAACUAGGUUGCUAUUUAAGUUUGAAUAAUACUGCCACUGAUAAUACCUAAACUUCUACUGUAUUUGAGACUGUUUCUGAUUGAAAAAGGCUUUCUAACUAAAAUGUUCAUUGCUCACUCAGUAUCAUCUUGGCUGAUACUGGGCUGUAGUAGUGAGUUUGUAGAACAUCAUGAAUUUUAAAGAAUCUGUUGUAGAAUUGCAUUUAAGAAUGGCUUUCGCUUUAGUGAAAAACAAAUGGCUUCAAAUGUUUUUUAGAAAGCUCUGGCCUCUCGGGAUAUGAUGGGUUUUGGACCAGCAUUGGAUGCACUAAGGACCUACCUGACUUUAAUUGUUGUAUCCAGGAUGCUUCCUUGGCAAGGAUGCAGUGCAGGUCAAGUUGUUGUUGAAGAUGAGAGGGUAAGGGCAAGAAUAAUGUACUUGGUUUGUAGCAAGUGUUGAAACCUCAUCAAAUUUUAUGCUUUUAUAGUUUCUUGUUAUUUAACAUUGGGGGUUUCCCUUGGUGCUGAGAUGGUGCUAAGACACCUGAACCUUAGUGCAAUUGCAUUACAUUUCUUUUACGUUCCUGAGCACUAAUUAUAUACUUAAUACUUAAUUAUAUACUUAAUUACAUACUUAAUACCUUCAUGUUCGCCAGCCCCAUCAUUUUCACAGCUAGUAAUGAAUGCUGUGUUACUGUUUCAAAUACAGUUUAUGUUUGCGAUACAUAUAUAUGUUUAUUUUAAUCAGGACUCUCUAAUUGUGGAACACGUGGUAAAAGUACCUGUACAUGCAUAUAUCAUCAGUCCUUAUUUGCCAAAGCUAUCUCGAAUGACUUGAUUUCCUCUCUCUAUUCAUUUCUGUUUGCCAUACAAAUAUAACUAGUUUGGAGGACUUGUUCCUUAUUCCUGCCAUUAGUGCAGUAACUGUAUCUUUAUUGAGACAUGGAAAAGAUACCUGGAUUGUAGCAGUUGGAUUAACCAUGAAAAUGGUCUACAGUUUUGGUGGUCAAGAGUAGCUGUUUGAUUGAAUGUUUGUGUCUUAUUUAUAGUUCCUAGGGGAUUUUGUCUAUAACACAGUCCACUUAAGUAAAAGGGUACCAAAUCCCCAUUGCUUUGUCCUUCUUUUUUUUUUUUUUUUUUUUUUUUUUUUUUUUAACUCAUGUAUUUACAGUAAGAAAAAGAAUAAAGAUGUGACCUCACUGGUUGGUGCCCUAUCAGCAGUUGUGCUGUGUGAGCACUACCUGCCCUUGUGGAACAUUUCUACCUGCUGCUGUCACAGUAAUUCAUGCUGCUUGUUAAGUUCAGGGAGUUAUUUUGACAUUGGCACUUACUGAACUGUGCAAUCUGUCAUUAAAUGGAUGUAUAUGUAACAGAUUUUUGUAUUUUAUAUGCAACUUCAUAGAUCCUCUGCAAUAUGUACUUAGCUACCUAAGCAUGAAAUAGACUUACUGGAAAGAAAAAAACCUCACUCCCCAAAGAUAUUAAAUGGUAAAUAAAAGCUGC